rnacentral:lncRNA from 1 species
CCAGGAGAUCAAGAUCAAGAGCCAAGAUGGUCCAAGGAAGAAAAGGGCUAGAAGAACAUCAUUUUAACAUGUAUGGCACGAUAUAUGGUUUCUUACAGCUGACACACAUGUAUCACGUGCCACUUAGAAUAGAUUUCAUUUUCCACAUGCUAAAUAAGUCUUCUAGAAGGCUGACACAUUUUGCACAUGGCUGCCUACGUGGAUUCAGAUCCACAUUUCACGGAUCUAGGCAUUUUUCUUGCCAAAGCCGAGGGGCUCUCUUAUAAAACCCACAAAGCAGCUUUUGUAUGACACUUUUGGAUGAUAAUAGAGAAAACUCUGCUGAAAUGCAUUGUCAUUUUCUCCUUACCGAGAGUCACUCCAUGCUUUGCUUUCUCCUCUGCAACUUCCUUCCUUGUGUGAGGGCUUUCUGAGUUGUAGCCAUUCCAUUCAAAGCUUGCCUCCGUUCCCAAUCACAUCUGCAUUCACAAGCCUCUGUUGCCACCCUUCCAAACACUUCCAUCC